UUAUAACGGUCGUCCGUGCGGGUUCGCUUAACUGCGGGUCUCUGCCCUCGGGUGGGGAUGCUGGGGUACUUGUCAAGUACUACGCGCUCGUGAUGGUUCACCGGGCCGGCUUGCCAGUGCACUUUCUCGGAGUAGUCACCACGACCGGCGCUGCCGCUAGGCUGCUGGUGUUAAACCUGUCGUGUAUAGUCAUUGUGGCUUUAUGCGGUGGGGACGGCAGGUGACUCGUUGGCUUCGCCAUCGAGUGUUAUCAGCUGACAUCAGUGGUACUGUGCGGUGUGUCGGA
rnacentral:rRNA from 1 species